rnacentral:rRNA from 1 species
CAUAUGGAUGCAGCAGUGAGGAAUAUUGGACAAUGGAUGGGAAUCUGAUCCAGCCAUGCCGCGUGCAGGAAGACGGCCCUAUGGGUUGUAAGCUGCUUUUGUAUGGGAGCAAUAAGGUCUAUGCGUAGACUGAUGAGAGUACCAUACGAAUAAGCAUCGGCUAACUCCGUGCCAGCAGCCGCGGUAAUACGGGGGAUGCAAGCGUUAUCCGGAUUUAUUGGGUUUAAAGGGUGCGUAGGCGGUUUGAUAAGUCAGCGGUGAAAUAUUUCAGCUUAACUGAAAGGGUGCCGUUGAUACUGUCAGGCUUGAAUAUGGUUGCUGUGGGUGGAAUGUGUGGUGUAGCGGUGAAAUGCUUAGAUAUCACACAGAAUAUCGAUUGCGAAGGCAGCUCACAAAGCCAUUAUUGACGCUGAUGCACGAAAGUGUGGGGAUCAAACAGGAUUAGAUACCCUGGUAGUCCACACUGUAAACGAUGAUAACUCGCUGUCGGCGAUACACAGUCGGUAGCCAAGCGAAAGCGAUAAGUUAUCCACCUGGGGAGUACGACCGCAAGGUUGAAACUCAAAGGAAUUGACGGGGGCCCGCACAAGCGGAGGAACAUGUGGUUUAAUUCGAUGAUACGCGAGGAACCUUACCCGGGCUCGAACGGUGCAGGAAUACGUCAGAGAUGAUGUAGUUAGCAAUAGUCUGUAUCGAGGUGCUGCAUGGUUGUCGUCAGCUCGUGCCGUGAGGUGUCGGCUUAAGUGCCAUAACGAGCGCAACCCUUGUCGUUAGUUGCCAUCAGGUAAUGCUGGGAACUCUAGCGAGACUGCCACCGUAAGGUGUGAGGAAGGGGGGGAUGACGUCAAAUCAGCACGGCCCUUACGUCCGGGGCGACACACGUGUUACAAUGGUAGGUACAGAGGGCAGCUACCCAGCAAUGGGGUGCGAAUCUCAAAAGCCUAUCUCAGUUCGGAUCGGAGUCUGCAACUCGACUCCGUGAAGUUGGAUUCGCUAGUAAUCGCGCAUCAGCCAUGGCGCGGUGAAUAACUAUCAGGGCCUGUACACACC